UAUUUUAGUAUUGCUUUAGAAAAAAAAUUUAAAGACUUUCUUAUUUAGUCAUUUGAGUUUAAUUGUGUAUAUUAAACUGUUGGAUUAUAAAAUGUGAAAUGUUCUAAGCUUUUAUCUAUGAGAAAUAAGAGAUCGUAAUAGGUAAUCGUAAUAGACGGAUUUCAACAACGAUUACAAUUAUAAUAGCACUAAAUAAUGCAUAUAUUGCAAAGUUCAAUAUAUGGCAAUUAUAACAGAUGACACUAAUCUGUUGAACGGCCGAACAAAAAUAUAUUCUUGUAGGCGACAAAAAAUCGUCAUUGACCUUUUGGCGAUAUUAUCUUUACAAAGGUUUGGUUUGGAGGUUGAAUGAAUGUUUGGGAUCUUAAGUAGGAUUUAUCAGACCCUAGGAUGUAUAUAAAGAUUGUCGUGCAAUUCACAGGAGUGACAAAAGCUUAGGAUGCUUUGAUGUUUACGACCACAACUUAAACAUUAUGUCUGGUUAAAAUAAGUAAGAUAAUGUCGAGAGGGAUGUAGACUGUGCAGAAUUUCGAACCGCCUGAGUUUUGCCGACACCAUUCUUCUAAGGUCCAUUAACAUGCUAGAUCAUUUUAGUCUUCGCACAUUUUUGUAAUUAUACUUAUCAAUAUAAUUGUUUUUAAUUAGUUUAAUGAAAAUUUAUUUUGGUUUUUAAUUCUUGUAUAUCCCUUUGAAAUACAGAGUUAAGUACAAUAUUUUUUAUAUUACUUAGUUAAUGGUAGGGAGUGAAAUAUAAUAUAUAAAUGGUAACAUUUACGAAGGAUUCAUAGUGGUAUAAAAUAUUAUGUUUAAAGCUUGUUUUAUACAUUAUUUUAUGGAAAAAAUCGUUUAUGAUACUUAUAUUUUUAUCAAGCUUGUAUUGAGGAUUGAAAAACGUAUCAGAUUAUGGUACAUGGACAUCAAUUAUUGCUGGUCUGCUGACACUGGACACUUUAUACAAUUUAAAAAAAUGAUAUUACAAAGAGAUCAACAAAUCUGACAAUCGAAAACAAGACUGAAAUAAAACGACUGCUAAAUGGAAGAACUGAUCGGCUAGUUCUACGAUACAUACUCAUAUAUACAUAAUAUGGAUAUGUAUGUGUACACAUGCUUCCAAAUAAAGCAACAAAUAUAUAGAACAGCCGAUCGUUUUUCAAUAAUGAAGACGUAUGGCGGCCGAAGCCGAAUAUAUGAAGAUUGCAAAAGAGAAAACAACAUUGAGUUAAAUGAAUGGUAGACAAGUGUAAAAAGUGGACAUCGAAAUGAUUACGGAAAAAUUUGCAAGCUUAUUUUUUAUGAUAAAUGAAAUAUUAUACGCACCAGCAAUUGAAAUAAUCGGUUAAA